GGCGCCUUGCAUGUUGCAUGAGGGAGUAAAAGGUCACAUGGGUUGAUGGUGUGACCAUCUUGCAGCCUCAUGGCAAGUCAUGCUCAAAGCAUCCGAACAAAAACAGAAUUGGUCAGGUUUGGGUGCGCUCCCUACCUGCCGCAGGUUUUUCUUCUAAAUCUGGAGCCAGCUUUUACUUCUUCAGCCUUGCCAGCGUUGCUGUAGGAGGCAGAGGAAUAUUAAAAAGGGUGAGACAUUGCACAAGAACAUAUCACAGUCCAGGAGUCUUUAACAGAUAACUUAGACACUAAAGAGUCUUUAAACAAGGACAACAGCUUUUCUAUUCUUUUAAUAGUAUAUUACAGCACAAGCAGUAAAACACCGUGUGGUAAAUGAAGGCACUCAUAUAUGGAUCCCUCCUCCUCCUCCUCCUCCUCCUCCUCUCCACUGACUUCCCGCUCACUUAGUAGCAUCACAUGAUUUUCAUAUGCGCCCUAAACUAGUCUAAGAACGAAGCUAAUCCUGCAGUGUGUGGGAAUACAGCCAGACGUAAAAUGUGGUUCGGUGUACUCUCUCCGGUGCAGACCUCCUCCUGCUGCCGGCAGCAGCGCUGGUGUCUGUGUGUGGUCUGCAGUUCUCCGAAAUCACUCCUCGCAGCUCUCUGACGAGAGACCUGAGCUCCCGGGCGGGGCUCUCCUGCUGCCUCUUUGACUUCAGCAGCCAGAAGAGGAGAGCAAUGUCAAUGAGCUGCUGCGGUGAUGCCAAUAUCUUAUAAGUUGCUGGUCUGAUUAGUUUGCAUUUGAACAGAGGAAUUACAGACUACAGGGCAAUCUCACAAAAUCACUUUCUGUGACAACAAGAUCUUUUUUAUCAUGCAGUAAGAACACAUAACUCUGUAUUAGCACUGUGACUGUAUAAUACUGUGGCUGUGUUGAAAUGAUUUACAGUAAGCUUUCCGUCCUUGCCACAGGAAUGUAAAACUUCGUAUGCUUUUGAUUUUAAAGCCCAGAAGUGCUGAGCUUGUGUCUGUGUAGCAAAUAAACAAUGAUUCACACAUGUACUUGACGGGCUGGAACCGUAGGAGACAGGAGAGAUGUAGGGAGUUCCUGACUGUACCGUAAUCUGUGUGUUGGAGGCGUGCUGGGAAGAAGGUGGAGUGAGAGUCGAUCUCCUCUCUCCUGGCAGUGAUCUUCUUCUGCAUGUCCAUGGCUACUAGGAGGCCUGAGAUGGAGAGAAACCCACAACACAAAGCAACACAAAGAUAGAAGAAAGAGGACAGGGAGGUGAUCAAGAGUUCCUGGGAUUUCCUCCCCUCCUGGACCCUCUGCUCCAGCAGGGCCUGUAGGCAGGUCUUCUCCUCCCCACCUCUGCGGAGGUGCUCCAUGGCCACCUCCAGUCGUCCUCUCAGGGCCUUUACCUCCUCCUGGAGCUCACACUGCUGCUGCUUACCGCACCUCUGGAGGAUAAAGCAGGAGGCAUACUGACUAUUUAAAAAAAUAGUUAAUCAUUUUGACAGUGUGAAGACAUAUGAUCUAAAUGAUGGGAGAAACUGGCUUGACAUGUUCUUGGAUGGUUGACUGACCAACCAUGUUUUUAACCCUUCUGUUACACUAGAAGUAACACCUCACUGGACACACUCACAUGGAGACACAGUGUAGAGAGUCAAAUGGUAACAUUGCCACCUGAAUUAAUAGGUGUAGGUACUUCAGAACAAGGACAUGAGCCACUUAAAAUGUACAAGGAUUGAGUGAUCAACAGGUAACCAGAGCUACUAGCGGAUUCCGACAGGUUUUUGUGUUUUUAUUGGAAAUGAGUAGAUCCACAUUUUCCUGCAGUGCAGUUCUUACACUGUCCAAACCUAAUGUCAAUGUGCACAUCAGGGUUGGGGGAUAUAGACUGCCUACUGGGGGACUUUUCUGAACUAUUGGCACAUCAAUUUGUGCAGCAUCAGUAACUACACUAGAAUGGACAAUAUAAAAAUAAGAAGAUGAUCACAAAAUGAUGCAGAAGCCCCCACUGAGAAUACAUGUAUAGUGAACAUUAUUAGGAUAGGCAGGCAGUCAGUUUAAGUAGUAGUCUAAGUUAGUAAACAUUUGGCAAACCUCUGUGACUGUUCCCACCAGCUCCUUAAGCUGUUUCACCAUCAGAUCACACACCUCCAGCUCUUUACACAACUCCAUCAUAAUUAGGCUACUUCAGUUUCCACUUCAAUGCGAACAUUCAUCUAUAUGAAGACUAUGGGUAGGAUUACAGCAGAGAGAGACACAAUGCUGGUUUCACAUUCAUGGUACAGCACCUUAAGUUGGCCAAGCUGGGACUGAAGCUCCUCUGAGAGUUGUAAAGAUCGCUCUCUGUGUCUUUGUGCAUCCACCAGCUGGGACUGAGCCUGGAUGAGCUGCUGCUCCAGGCAACAAACCUGCAAUGUGACAAAUUAUAUUCACAAACCAAAUAAAAAACAAAUUUUAGUUUUCAUUCA